rnacentral:rRNA from 1 species
GAUGAACGCUGGCGGCGUGCUUAACACAUGCAAGUCGAACGGAAAGGCCCAAGCUUGCUUGGGUACUCGAGUGGCGAACGGGUGAGUAACACGUGGGUGAUCUGCCCUGCACUUCGGGAUAAGCCUGGGAAACUGGGUCUAAUACCGGAUAGGACCACUUCUUGGAUGUUGUGGUGGAAAGUUUUUUCGGUGUGGGAUGAGCUCGCGGCCUAUCAGCUUGUUGGUGGGGUAAUGGCCUACCAAGGCGUCGACGGGUAGCCGGCCUGAGAGGGUGUACGGCCACAUUGGGACUGAGAGACGGCCCAGACUCCUACGGGGGGCAGCAGUGGGGAAUAUUGCACAAUGGGCGCAAGCCUGAUGCAGCGACGCCGCGUGGGGGAUGACGGCCUUCGGGUUGUAAACUCCUUUCGCUAGGGACGAAGCGUUUUGUGACGGUACCUGGAGAAGAAGCACCGGCUAACUACGUG